UGCCCUGUCGUCUAAUGGUAGGACAUCAGCCUUUGGAGCUGAGUAUUGUGGUUCGAAUCCAUGCAGGGCAA
rnacentral:tRNA from 1 species